rnacentral:rRNA from 1 species
AUUGAACGCUGGCGGCAGGCCUAACACAUGCAAGUCGAGCGGCAGCGGGAAGUAGCUUGCUACUUUGCCGGCGAGCGGCGGACGGGAGAGUAAUGUCUGGGGAUCUGCCUGAUGGAGAGGGAUAACUACUGGAAACGGUAGCUAAUACCGCAUAACCUCGAAAGAGCAAAGUGGGGGACCUUCGGGCCUCACGCCAUCGGAUGAACCCAGAUGGGAUUAGCUAGUAGGUGGGGUAAUGGCUCACCUAGGCGACGAUCCCUAGCUGGUCUGAGAGGAUGACCAGCCACACUGGAACUGAGACACGGUCCAGACUCCUACGGGAGGCAGCAGUGGGGAAUAUUGCACAAUGGGCGCAAGCCUGAUGCAGCCAUGCCGCGUGUAUGAAGAAGGCCUUCGGGUUGUAAAGUACUUUCAGCGGGGAGGAAGGCGGUGAGGUUAAUAACCUCAUCGAUUGACGUUACCCGCAGAAGAAGCACCGGCUAACUCCGUGCCAGCAGCCGCCGUAA